UCCUGGCUCAGAUUGAACGCUGGCGGCAGGCCUAACACAUGCAAGUCGAGCGGCAGCGGGACCUUCGGGUUGCCGGCGAGCGGCGGACGGGUGAGUAAUGCCCCUUUCUCUGUCCUGUUAGUGGGGGAUAACGCGGGGAACUCGCGCUAAUACCGCAUACGUCCCAUGUAGAAAGCGGGGGCUCUUCGGACCUCGCGCCAUUGUGUUAACCCUAGGUCGGAUUAGCUGCCAUGUAGUACCCACCAAGGCGACGAUCCAUGAUGAUCCGUAACGUAGCUGAAUGAUCAGUCACACUGGAACUGAGACACGGUCCAGACCGUGCUCCUACGGGAGGCAGCAGUGGGGAAUAUAAUGGGCGAAAGCCACUUCCAGCCAUGCCGCGUGUGUGAAGAAGGUCUUCGGAUUGUAAAGCACUUUAAGUCGGGAGGAAGGGCUGUAGGCGAAUACCCCCUUGCGGUUUUGACGUUACCUUAAUAAGCACCGGCUAACUUCGUGCCAGCAGCCGCGGUAAUACGAAGGGUGCAAGCGUUAAUCGGAAUUCCUGGGCGUAAAGCGCGCGUAGGUGGUUUGGUAAGUUGCUGAAAAGCCCUGGGCUCAACCUGGGAACUGCAUCCCGUGAUCUGCCUGGCUAGAGUACGGUAGAGGGUGGUGGAAAGUGCUGUGUAGCGGUGAAAUGCGUAGAUAUAGGAAGGAACACCAGUGGCGAAGGCGUGUAGCUGGACUGAUACUGACACUGAGGCGUAAAAGCGUGGGGAGCAAACAGGAUUAGAUACCCUGGUAGUCCACCAUUUAACGAUGUCGACUAGCCGUUGGGUUGAUGUAAGAGCUUAGUGGCGCAGCUAACGCAUUAAGUCGACCGCCUGGGGAGUACGUACGUCAAGGUUAAAACUCAAAUGAAUUGACGGGGGCCGCACAAGCGGUGGAGCAUGUGGUUUAAACUGAAGCAACGCGAAGAACCUUACCUGGCCUUGACAUCCUGCGAACUUGGUAGAGAUACCUUGGUGCCUCACCGCAGAGACAGGUGCUGCCGUUUGAUGGCUGUCGUCAGCUUGUCGUGAGCUUGCGAUGUUGGGUUAAGUCCCGUAACGAGCGCUGUUCUUAGUUACCAGCGAUUCGGUCGGGCACUUUCA
rnacentral:rRNA from 1 species